AGAGGUUGACAUUGGACAGCUGCUCCUGGGAGGGAGAAGGAGUCAGUGGUGAGAAGUUUGGGGUUUUCAUUCCUCCUCGGCCUUGGCCAGGGAAAAGUCACAAACCUCCAAACUCCACCCACCACUGCUUGUACAAAGUCUCACAGUGAGAUUGAUGAGAUCUUGGAGUCAUUCUCACAUAUCCCCUUGACUGAACCAGAAGCCCUACUCUGUGCUGGACUGUUUCCACAAUGAAGAAGCCAAGCUCAGACAAUCAUAAAUCCAGGGGCUGUAGGACCCUCAGUUCAUCCCUGACGGCUGCAUGCCCAGAAACAAGCAAAGGUUCCCUGCACUAUUCUAAAAGUGGAAUGCAAAUUGCUUUGGGGUGGGACUACCAACACCUUCCCUGUCUGCUACCAAAAUUCUAAAAAUAAGACUCUGCACUCUUCAGCAAGGGCUUGAUCUUGAAGAACAGCUUCAUCCAUGGCCAGUGUUUGACAUUCAUGAAUGCACGAAUGUUGUACUGGAUGCAGAAGAUGGACUCCCUGAAAGAUAAGUUGAAGUAAUAUUCAAUAUUUACACCAUAAUGACGCAAUAAGCCAAGUAGAGUGAACCUGAUUUGAAGAAAUUUUACCUUCUCUCCACCAUUUUCUGGUACUCCACCCUCAUCAGGUAGCCCCUGCACCUGGCCUGGGUGCGGGUGAUGAGCUGUGCCAGCUUCUCAUCCCUCAUCUCUUCCAAAAGGCCCACCAGCCCAGCUUUGAAGAACACCUUAGGACUCUGUUGGGAAAUCCUUUCCUGCAAAUCCUGAUCCCUUCCAGCACGCCGUUACAGCGCAGCUGAUGCAGCACCAGCUCGUGCUCCAUGGCACCUGGCAAUGCAGAGCAGAAAUACAUGCCAUGUUCUGUAAUACAGUGGGGAAGAGCUGCACCACACUGAAAACCUUCAAUAUACAUGUCUUACCAAAUCUUACUUACAUCAAAGAUCUCGAAGCCAGCAAUGUCCAGGACACCAAUGAAGUACUGCCUGGGCUGCUUCGUGUCCAGCUGCUCGUUGAUGCGAACAACCAUCCACAGGAACAUUCUCUCAUAAAGCGCCUUUGCCAGGGCACCCACUGCAUUGUGCACCUACAGGAAAAACAAAAAUACCUGGAGUUACAAUACAAGGCAGAGGAGAAUCAAGAGGAUAUUCGUUCUACACAUGGUUACAGUCUUGACAGUGACUUUGCCUGAUUCCCUGCUCGUGAUUGUCCCUUUCACAAAGGAUUCUUUGGGAUGAACCACGAAGACUGAUGACUUGGCAUCAAAAGGGUGAACUUCGCUGAACUUCACAGAAGCAAAUCACAGCAGAGAUAAAUGGCAGGAGGCAGGCUGGAAACCAUCUCUGGAUACAGACUAUGCUGCACAGCAAUGCAGUGUCGUCAAGGUGCACAUUCCUCAUGGAGGAGAAAGGAUUCAGUCGUGCUGAAAAUAGAUCCUUCUUGAGACAGUGACCAGACAGCUGCUCCCCUUCUGCCCGGGCCUAAGAUGUGGAUUUUGUUCCCCCUGUCCCAGCAGUUAACUGAGAGAUAAGGAGUGAGAAGGCACUUUUUAGCCAGGCUGGGGAGGGCAAGGGGAAGUUCCUGCAGGGGCUGUGUGCUGGCCACUGGGAACCUCCCCCUCCUGCCUGUUCAUUCUCAUCAAGCUCAGGAACUGGAAACACAAGAAAGGUCUGUAUUUUGCAGCAGGAAAAGGAAUGUUUUUUUGUAGUCUUUACCCCCGGAAGCUACUCAGGCUACAUGCCCUGUGAUUCCCUAAGACAGGCAGCCCUCCAAGGUCCCUCUGGCUGGGGAAGUCUCCAGGUGUUCCCUCUGACUGUGGGCAUAUCCAGGUGGCCACUCCCAUGCAGCUGAAGCCAUGGCUAUCAGUGAGAUCUUUCAUUUCACUUCAUUCAAUUAACACACAGUUAAUUCCAUGCCACUUGCCAAAGCAUAUCCCUCCCAAACACCAAAUCCAUAAAACUGCUUCUCAUGAACGUCAGCUGAAAUGUCCUCAGUAGAAGCAGCAGGUUUUGGUUGCUUUCAGUCCUUGAAGAGCAGAGUGACCUGCAGGCAGAGUCACAGAUCUGUGGAACCCAUUGGGGCAGCAAAAUGCAUCACAUCACAUCAGGAAGGAGCUCCACCAGGUAAGGAGCAGCAGGGCAGGCAGAGUACAGGAGAUUCUUCUCAUUACCACAGGCUGGACAUAUUCUCAGUGGUAACUGCAUGCUGGUAAGCAUUUCUCCAUGUCCAUAACAGGAAUUUGGGGGUGUGGUUCAAACUUUUUUUUCAUUAUGAGUUGCCAGACAUUGAUUUUUCAGAAAUAUGUGUAUGAUACAGCACUAGCAUCACCUCUGUGAGUUAUUUCUGACAAUAUAAUAACAUUGAAGGAAAUAAGGUUGCAUGAUGUCCUUACCCAUGUGAGAGAGAUUGGAUUAGGUGAGAUUUAAAGGUCUCUUCAACCCAAACCCUUCAGUGAUUUGUGUGGCUCUCUGAAUGGCUGUACUGGGUGAGUCCAAAGGAACAGGCGGACCCUCACACCCAAGACAUUUGUCAUCAUCCCACUCUCCCCAGACACCCAGCCUCUGCAUGACAUUCCACUCAGGUGGUGAAGCCUUCUAGAGAACAAACCACCUCAAGGUGGUGAAAAACGUCAUGUCAGUGGAGAAAAAACAACUUACACUUGGGAAACUGUACUGAAAAUGA